rnacentral:rRNA from 1 species
GUUGAACGCUGGCGGCAUGCUUUACACAUGCAAGUCGAACGGCAGCGCGGGCUUCGGCCUGGCGGCGAGUGGCGAACGGGUGAGUAAUACAUCGGAACGUGCCCAGUAGUGGGGGAUAGCUCGGCGAAAGCCGGAUUAAUACCGCAUACGACCUGAGGGUGAAAGCGGGGGAUCUUCGGACCUCGCGCUAUUGGAGCGGCCGAUGGCAGAUUAGCUAGUUGGUGGGGUAAAGGCCUACCAAGGCGACGAUCUGUAGCUGGUCUGAGAGGACGACCAGCCACACUGGGACUGAGACACGGCCCAGACUCCUACGGGAGGCAGCAGUGGGGAAUUUUGGACAAUGGGCGAAAGCCUGAUCCAGCAAUGCCGCGUGUGUGAUGAAGGCCUUCGGGUUGUAAAGCACUUUUAGCGGGAACGAAAAGGACUGUGCCAAUACCACGGUUCGAUGACGGUACCCGCAGAAUAAGCACCGGCUAACUACGU